rnacentral:rRNA from 1 species
GAUGAACGCUGGCGGCGUGCCUAACACAUGCAAGUCGAGCGAACCCUUCGGGGUGAGCGGCGGUCGGGUGAGUAACGCGUGGGUAACCUGCCCUAUACACACGGAUAACGUACCGAAAGGUACGCUAAUACGGGAUAAAGUUGUUGGAUGGCAUCUUCUAACAAUCAAAGCUCUGGCGGUAUAGGAUGGACCCGCGUCUGAUUAGCUAGUUGGUGAGGUAAUGGCUAACCAAGGCGACGAUCAGUAGCCGACCUGAGAGGGUGAUCGGCCACACUGGAACUGAGACACGGUCCAGACUCCUACGGGAGGCAGCAGUGGGGAAUAUUGCACAAUGGGCGAAAGCCUGAUGCAGCAACGCCGCGUGAGCGAUGAAGGUCUUCGGAUCGUAAAGCUCUGUCCUCAAGGAAGAUAAUGACGGUACUUGAGGAGGAAGCCCCGGCUAACUACGUGCCAGCAGCCGCCGUAA